AGCGAACGCUGGCGGCAGGCUUAACACAUGCAAGUCGAGCGGACCUUUCGGGGUCAGCGGCGGACGGGUGAGUAACGCGUGGGAACGUGCCUUCCGGUUCGGAAUAACCCUGGGAAACUAGGGCUAAUACCGGAUACGCCCUUAUGGGGAAAGGUUUACUGCCGGAAGAUCGGCCCGCGUCUGAUUAGCUAGUUGGUGGGGUAACGGCCUACCAAGGCGACGAUCAGUAGCUGGUCUGAGAGGAUGAUCAGCCACACUGGGACUGAGGCACGGCCCAGACUCCUACGGGAGGCAGCAGUGGGGAAUAUUGGACAAUGGGCCCAAGCCUGAUCCAGCCAUGCCGCGUGAGUGAUGAAGGCCUUAGGGUUGUAAAGCUCUUUUAUCCGGGACGAUAAUGACGGUACCGGAGGAAUAAGCCCCGGCUAACUUCGUG
rnacentral:rRNA from 1 species